rnacentral:lncRNA from 1 species
UACUAUAUUUAGUUAAUUGUGUACCAUGCUAAUUUAGCUGUGUACCAUAGUUAACUGUAUACCAUAUUAAUUUAACUAUAUAUAGUGUUCAUUUAACUAUAUGCAGUAUUCAUUUAACUAUAUAUCAUAUUAAUUUAACUGUGUACAAUGGUAAAUUAACUAUGUACUAUGUUAAUUAAACUGUGUAUCAUAGUUAGUUAACUAUAUACUAUAUUAAUUUAACGAUCGUUCUAUUUGAUAAACAAGUAAUCAUGAAUAGGAUAGUAAUAGUACAGACAUAGAUGGCAAGAAUUUGGUGCUUCGCUGCCUCCCCGGCCUACCAUCGUCGGUGUAGCCGAGAUCUGAAUUCUCUCAUUCCCAACCGAACAGUAAUCCCCAGCCACCCUCUUUCCUCCAUCUUGAUCGGACAUUCACGAGUUCUCUAAACUCAUGGUCGCUGUCGUGACCACCACUAAUGAUGGCGAUGGCGAUGGCGAUGGCCCUCCACCCUCAUCUCUCUCCUUAGAAAAACCAACACGAUGGCGAUGGUGAUGGCGAUGGAGGUUAACAUGAUGCUCGAUGAUCAAAAAUUAAUUCAGUUAAAUAACUUGAUUAAUGAUACAAUUGACUCCACAGAAAAUUAAUAGAUCAAAUCUGAUGGUAUUUGGAUCUGCUCAAGUUGGGUGCCGGUAUGUUGUUUGAUGACUGUGAAUCAGGACUCUUCAUAAAGCUCGAUCAAAAUCAUUGUAAGAAGAUCAUUUACUAAAUCAAUCUUAGAGAGACAAAUCAUUUUAAAACAAUAAUUCUAGAGAAAAAAAUUUUUAGAAAGAGAAAUUGGGGUUCAGACAAAUCAAUCUUCUCUCUCUUCUUUUUUUCUUCUUUUUUUCAUUUUUCUUUCUUUUUUUUUCUUUUUCUUCUUCUUCCCGUGGCUUCUUUUUGGUGGAAUAGGAGAUUGUGAGGUCCCUUUUUGUUUCUCGAACUGUGGGCCAUGGCUGGUGGCCUAUGGCCAGUGGCAAAUAGGGCUGCAAUGGCACAACCCAGAGAACCCAAAUUGGUAGUCGGCGGUGACCACCGAUAUCGAAAAAUCGAAAGAAAAGGGGCAGAAUAAGGAAAAAAAAUAGGGAUAGAUUUUGAGGAUGAUUUCCAACAAAAUCGAUGGUCGACAGUAAGGCCUAGGGCCAAGGGGAAAAAGGAAAGAGGAAGAGGAAGAAGGGAGGGGGCUUACCUCGAGGUCCAGCGGUGUCUCUGGCGAGGAUUUGAGGCAGACACAAUGAAAGCAUCCGCAGCUUCAACGGAAGAAAUCAAAGAGAAAGAAGAGAGAGG